rfam:Streptomyces lincolnensis strain NRRL 2936, complete genome.
GGAGGAUUGGCCGAGUGGUAAGGCACUGGCUUGCACUGUGUUUGAUCAAAGGCAGCCAAGGUCGGGUGUGAAAGCCCGCGCACGUUCGAUUCGUGCAUCCUCCG